CGGAGGGUGCAAGCGUUAUCCGGAUUCACUGGGUUUAAAGGGUGCGUAGGUGGGUUGGUAAGUUAGUGGUGAAAUCUCCGAGCUUAACCUGGAAACUGCCAUUGAUACUAUCAGUCUUGAAUAUUGUGGAGGUCAGCGGAAUAUGUCAUGUAGCGGUGAAAUGCUUAGAUAUGACAUAGAACACCAAUUGCGAAGGCAGCUGGCUACACAUAUAUUGACACUGAGGCACGAAGCGUGGGGAUCAAACAGGAUUAGAUACCCUGGUAGUCCACGCCCUAAACUAUGGAUACUCGACAUACGCGAUACACAGUGUGUGUCUGAGCGAAAGCAUUAAGUAUCCCACCUGGGAAGUACGAUCGCAAGAUUG
rnacentral:rRNA from 1 species